AUUGCCAGAAACGAAUCGGUUUUAAGACGACGUUCAUGUCUCUAACUUUUUCUCUCUUUAGGAAGCGAGCUUGAUAUGCGUGGCGAUCGUUUCUCGACUUUCGGAGAGUUUAGAUCGGUUUGCAAGAUCUGGAUGAACAAUUAUGGAACAAUAUAUCGAGACAGGAAAAAUCGCUUAAAACUUAGUUCGCUAGACUAUCCGCCUAGGUUUUACGUUCCCUAAAGUUCUAUGGCAGCCUCAAAGUAAUUUCCUACGAAAAUUCCAAGUCUGAUUUCAAAAAUUUCAAGCCG
rnacentral:lncRNA from 1 species